AUGGCCAAGGGGGAGAGGGAGGGGCGGCUCCCCCUCUUGCUGCUGCUGCUCGUCUUGUGCCUCUUGGCGCAGUCCAGGAUCGCCGCCGCCGCCACCCACCCACAGGAUGCGGCUGCUCUCAAAUCCUUGAUGAGGAAAUGGUCAAAUGUGCCUGCUAGCUGGAGGAAGAAAUCGAACGAUCCUUGCGGCGACAGAUGGGAUGGAAUCGAAUGCAAUGGUGCCAACUCAAGGGUUACAUCACUAAAUCUUUUUGGCAUGAACAUGAAAGGCACUCUCAGUGAUGAUAUAGGAAGCCUGACUGAGCUUAGGGUCCUGGAUUUAUCCUCAAAUAAAGACCUAGGCGGUCCACUUACACCUGCCAUUGGGAAAUUAGUUCAGCUUAUAAAUUUAGCAUUAAUAGGUUGCAGUUUCAGCGGUACUGUUCCAAGUGAACUAGGCAACCUGGCACAACUCGAAUUCUUCGGUCUGAACUCAAACCAAUUCACGGGCAGAAUCCCGCCCUCACUGGGCAAGCUCUCCAAGGUUAAAUGGCUGGACCUAGCUGAUAACAAGUUAACCGGACUUCUCCCAAACUCAAGGGACAAUGGUGCUGGAUUGGACCAGCUUCUUAAUGCAGAGCACUUCCAUCUUAACCAGAAUUCUCUAGAAGGUCCUAUCCCAGAAUAUAUGUUCAACUCCAGCAUGAACCUCAAGCAUAUACUUCUGGACAGGAACAAUUUGAGUGGAACUAUCCCAUCAUCUAUUGGGCUAAUCCCAACACUUGAAGUACUUCGUCUAAAUAACAAUAACUUCACAGGCCGAGUUCCGGCUAUGAAUAACCUGACUAAGCUCCAUGUUCUAAUGCUGUCAAAUAACAAGCUAAGUGGACCAAUGCCGAAUUUGACUGAUAUGAAUGGUCUUGGAAAUGUGGAUCUAAGCAAUAACAGCUUCACGCCUUCUGGUGUUCCAAGUUGGUUUACAGAAUUGCCCGGAUUAAUGACCCUUACAAUGCAGUCGGUUGGGAUUUCUGGGAAACUACCACAGAAGCUUUUCGGCUUGCGUGAUUUGCAACAUGUAAUAUUGAAUGAUAAUGAACUGAAUGAUACGCUUGACAUGGGCAAUAACAUCAACGAUGGACUAGACCUUGUCGACUUGCGGAACAACAAAAUUACCUCAGUUACAGUGUACAGCAGCCUUGACAGCAAGCUUCUCAAGCUUGAAGGAAACCCACUCUGCACCGACUCUCUUCUGUCAAACACGCUGCUCUGCACCGACCAGCUAGCCGAAUUUCCAAUCAUGCUACCCUUCUCUGAUGUACAGUGUCCACAUCCAUUUGUUGAAACCAUAUUCUUCCGUUCUCCUUCCUUUGGCGAUGUCAGAAAGUUCCUUCCUGAACUGCACGACAACCUGUCGAGAACAGUGAGCAGUUGUACCCCGAACAAGCUAGGUUUGGUACCAUACGUUGAUGACGUGUACCUGAAAGUGGACAUCAAGGCGUGCCCAGUAAACCAGAAGAGGUUCAAUUAUUCUCAGGUGCUCAACUGCUUUAAUCUGACACUUCAGACUUACAAGCCACCGGAGAACUUUGGACCUUACUAUGUGAAAUCACAUCCUUAUCCGUUCCACGACAAAGCUUCUCGAGCUAUUUUGAUUGGUGUCGUGACUGGCUCUGUUCUUUUGGUUGUCGGGCUCGCGCUGAUUGGACUUUACGCCGUGCGCCAAAAGAAACGGGCUAAGAUGCUUGUCUCCCAGAAUAAUCCUUUUGCUUCAUGGGGAUCAACGCCGGAAGAUAUUGGUGAAGCGCCAAAACUCAAGAGCGCUAGAGCCUUCACACUGGAAGAGCUCAAGCUUAGCACAAACGACUUCAAACAAAUCAAUGCAAUUGGAGAAGGAGGCUAUGGAACGGUGUACCGAGGAAAACUUCUGGAUGGACAGCUCAUAGCCAUCAAGAGGUCCAAGCAAGGGUCCAUGCAGGGUGGGCUUGAGUUCAAGACAGAAAUCGAGCUCCUUUCGAGGGUGCAUCACAACAACUUGGUUGGGCUAGUUGGUUUCUGCUUCGAGAAGGGCGAAAAGAUGCUGGUUUACGAGUUCAUAUCCAAUGGAACUCUAAGUGAGGCGUUAUAUGGUAUGAAAGGAGUACAAUUGGAUUGGAGUAUGAGACUUCAAAUAGCUCUAGAUUCAGCUAGAGGGCUAGCUUACCUCCAUGACCAUGCCAAUCCUCCAAUCAUUCAUAGAGAUAUCAAGUCCACCAACAUUCUCCUUGAUUCGAAGAUGACCGCAAAGGUUGCAGAUUUUGGCCUCUCCUUGUUGGUAUCAGACAGCGAGGAAGGCGAGCUGUGCACAAAUGUCAAGGGAACACUGGGUUACCUAGAUCCAGAGUACUACAUGACGCAGCAACUUACGGCGAAGAGCGAUGUCUACAGCUUCGGCGUGGUACUACUAGAGCUCAUAGUAGCCAAUCCACCUAUAUACGAGAAGAAGUACAUUGUCCGUGAGGUGAAGACGGCACUAGACAUGGAAGACACCAUGUACUGUGGGCUGAAGGAUGUGAUGGACCCAGUUCUCUACAAAAUGGGGGGCCUCCUAGGAUUCCCAAGGUUUGUGACGAUGGCACUGCAAUGCGUGGAGGAGGUGGGACCUGACCGCCCGAAGAUGAACAAUGUGGUGAGGGAGAUCGAGAUGAUAAUGCAGGACAACGGGCUCACACCCGGUUCGAUGUCGGCAAGCUCGUCGUUCAGCGUGGACUCGACAACAAGGACGUUUGCACCAAGGUAUCCGUACUCCAGCACAUCGACGCCGUCCACGACGUAUCAGAUGGACAGCAGGGCCUUUGAGUACAGUGGGGGUUUCCCUUCUCAGGGCAGCUUGAAGAACAGGAACACAUCCCCUAAACCUCGAAGCUCCCGGGAACGGGGGCUUCCUGGUUGA
rnacentral:rRNA from 1 species